UACGUAGGGUGCAAGCGUUGUCCGGAAUUAUUGGGCGUAAAGAGCUCGUAGGCGGUUUGUCGCGUCUGCUGUGAAAACCCGAGGCUCAACCUCGGGCCUGCAGUGGGUACGGGCAGACUAGAGUGCGGUAGGGGAGAUUGGAAUUCCUGGUGUAGCGGUGGAAUGCGCAGAUAUCAGGAGGAACACCGGUGGCGAAGGCGGCAUCCUGGACCGGCAUUGACGCUGAGGAGCGAAAGCCAGGGGAGCAAACGGG
rnacentral:rRNA from 1 species